UUUAUUAUCAAAGUAUGGACUGGAGCAUAAAAGUAAAGUAAUAAAUAAUAUUUCACCUCCACUCUUUUUCAUAUCACUUUCCGGAUUCCUCUUCUCCUAAAAUCUUCUACAGUUUUUCUCCCAACACCUCAAGCGGUUGCAUGUCGUCCUCUAGAUCAGCAGCCUCUCAUCCGCAUGUCGUCAACAAUAUGCAUGUAGUCCUCUGCGUUUUUGUCGCUCUCUGAGUUUUAAAGUUGUUGGGAUGUGAAAGGCUGAGUCCACGACAGAUUUGUUUACUGGGUUCGUAAGUUGUUUUAUGGGAGUUUGAUUCACUCUUAAACCUGGUAAAAAGUUUCCUUGCUUCUCUCUGUCUCUUCUCUUGCUUUAUCUUUUUAAAUUUUUUUUUUUUUUUUUGGUUAGAGUUUAAAACUUUCUUUUAAAAGGCUCAUUUUCUCUAAAAAAUAAUAAUAAAAAUAUCAAAUGAAAGGCUCUGGUAGUCUUGAAAUACGUGUAUUGUAGUUUCUCUAUGUAUAAAUCAAGAACAAAUGAUAAUCUGUAUCUUUGGAAACCAACCAUAAUUCUCAGUUCCCCUCCUCUCAGAAUGCUCUCUCCCUCUCUUCCUCACGAGUAGGGCUAGAUCUAAUGAUCUGAUUUCAACGACGCCUCCGGCUACCAGAUCUGGUACUGGCAACCGUGUUUGCUUGGAUCUUGUUCUCUCUCUCCCUUUCGAGCUAAGCCGACGCACCUCCAUGGAAGAAGAUGGAUGAUCGACGUCAAAAUGAUGGAUGUAAGUUGACUGUAGAGAUCUGAUUUCCUGCUGCCUCCCCACCUCCUUUUCGUCAUGCUGUGGCCUGAACCUAAUCCGAUAUUCGGGAUUGUUUGAGAAGACCGAUGAGAAUCCCACUUACAAAAUUUUGUGAGCAACAAACAUAAGUGUUGAAACACUGUUUGUAUUUUCUAUUUUUCGUUGAAGUUAUUAUUUUUUGUUUUCUGUGUAUGUAUACUUACUGUUGACUCUUUUGGUGGUAUUGUUAUGAAGGUGAAUCUGGAAAAA